rnacentral:rRNA from 1 species
UAGGGAAUCUUCGGCAAUGGACGGAAGUCUGACCGAGCAACGCCGCGUGAGUGAAGAAGGUUUUCGGAUCGUAAAGCUCUGUUGUAAGAGAAGAACGAGUGUGAGAGUGGAAAGUUCACACUGUGACGGUAUCUUACCAGAAAGGGACGGCUAACUACGUGCCAGCAGCCGCGGUAAUACGUAGGUCCCGAGCGUUGUCCGGAUUUAUUGGGCGUAAAGCGAGCGCAGGCGGUUAGAUAAGUCUGAAGUUAAAGGCUGUGGCUUAACCAUAGUAGGCUUUGGAAACUGUUUAACUUGAGUGCAAGAGGGGAGAGUGGAAUUCCAUGUGUAGCGGUGAAAUGCGUAGAUAUAUGGAGGAACACCGGUGGCGAAAGCGGCUCUCUGGCUUGUAACUGACGCUGAGGCUCGAAAGCGUGGGGAGCAAACAGGAUUAGAUACCCUAGUAGUCCACGCUGUAAACGAUGAGUGCUAGGUGUUAGACCCUUUCCGGGGUUUAGUGCCGUAGCUAACGCAUUAAGCACUCCGCCUGGGGAGUACGACCGCAAGGUU